CGGGCGGGGCCGCCAUGUUGGCAGAGAGUCCCAGCGUCCCGCGCCUCGGUUCCGGAACCCGCGGCGCGGGGAUGGAGCUGGGCUGCCCUUGGGCGCCGUCCUGGGCUGGUGCCCACCCUGGCCGCGUGGUCACCGGCAAGAAGCCCAGGGCCUCACCCAGGCGUGGGGGCCGGGGGAAGGACCGGACCCUCCCGAAGUCGCGGACCAGGCCGGGCGGCACCCGGGCUGGGGUGGCUGCUACCCCGAGCUAAGCUGGCUGCGCCGCAUCUCACGGUCCCCGGGGCCCGAGCGCUGCGCCUGGACCGGCGCCGAGCGAGGCGGCCAAUCGGCCGGCUGGACCCACAGUCCCCGCGCCAUAGGCGGGUCGGGGCUUUCAGACCCGGCUCCCAGCCCUCGAACUCGGUAACCUUGGAGGUCAGCUUGAGAUGACUGCGCUUCCUGCACGCGUUGUCCUCCCCAGAAACGCCCAAAAUGGCAAAGCGGCGUCCGUGGCCGCCCGAGGCCCUCCCUGCCUGGGUUCUCCCCAGCCGAACCUCACGCCCGGCCCCUCCUUCAUUCUCUCCUGGCCAGGCUGCUCCUGCCCUUGGGCGAAUCCGCUGCGUCCCACGGUCCUGACUGUGGCAUUUCUGCGUGUCUGGAGAGCUCCCCCGGCAGCGACGUCCUGCUUAGCACGUGGCUCGUCUAACUCUGUUCCCCUGGCCUCCUGCUCUUCUAGGGGUCAUCUUUAGGUUUCUGCUGGUCUCUGCCCCCUGUGACACUUGCUGGUACCCAAAUGAAGUCGUUUAUGUCACACUCUAACAAGAGGCCCUGAAGAAGCCCUCACAAAAACAUUAGCAACGGAGCGCCUGCGGCAAACCCUUCUAACCUUUGGUCUUUAUGGUUUCAAAGCAGUUUAUGGGAACUUCUCUUUUUUAAAAGAUUCCCCUUGGGGCCAGGCGCGGUGGCUUCUGUAAUCCCAGGACUUUGGGAGGCCGAGGCAGGUGGAUCACUUGAGGUCAGGAGUUCAAGACUAGCCUGGCCAACAUGGUGAGACACCCGUCUCUACAAAAAACACAAAAAAAUUAGCAGGGCAUGGUUGGUGGCAGGCACCUGUAGUCCCAGCUACACGGGAGGCUUAGGCAGGAGAAUUCCUUGAACCCAGGAGGUGGAGGUUGCAGUGAGCCGAGAUGGCACCACUGCACUCCAGCCUGGGCAACAGAGCAAGACUCUGUCUCAAAAAAAAAAAAAAAAAAAAAAAAGAAAUUUCCCGUGGGCGGGGCACAGUGACUCAUGCCUGUAGUAAUCCCAGCACUUUUGGAGGCCAAGGUGGGCAGAUCCCCUGAGCUCAGGAGUCCAACCUGGGCAACAUGGUGAAACCCCUGUCUCUACAAAAAAUAAAAAAAUGAGUCCAGUGUGGUGGUGUGCACCUGUGGUCCCAGCUACUCUGGAGGCUGAGGUGGGAAGACCACCUAAGCCCCAGGAGGUCGAGGCUGCAGUGAGCCAUGAUUGCACCACUGCACUCCAGCCUGGGCAACAGAGUGAGAUCCAGUCUCAAAAAAAAAAAAUUCCCCCUUUCCUCAAUCCCCACCCCACCCCCCCACCACAUGCCUGUGACCCACUGAGGCUUGCAUACUCUGCAUUGCAAUUAUG
rnacentral:lncRNA from 1 species